CAGCAGCCGCGGGAAUACGGAGGGCGCGAGCGUUACCCGGAUUUACUGGCGUAGAGGGCGUGUAGGCGGCCUGGGGCGUCCCAUGUGAAAGGCCACGGCUCAACCGUGGAGGAGCGUGGGAUACGCUCAGGCUAGAGGGUGGGAGAGGGUGGUGGAAUUCCCGGAGUAGCGGUGAAAUGCGCAGAUACCGGGAGGAACGCCGAUGGCGAAGGCAGCCACCUGGUCCACUUCUGACGCUGAGGCGCGAAAGCGUGGGGAGCAAACCGGAUUAGAUACCCGGGUAGUCCCUGUCUCUUAUACA
rnacentral:rRNA from 1 species